rnacentral:ncRNA from 1 species
GGCCCGUCUAUUGCUUUGGCAAUGGCACCGGUAGCCAACGGCGGCUACCACCGAUUACGACAAAGACGUCGC